CUGAGGGCUCACACACUAAAUGAGUUUGUAGGAUUUUAGGACCUCUCUCUACCCCAAGCCUGGAGUCAGGAAAUCCCUUAGGGGUUUUGAUUCUGAGUCCUUCUUGUCCCUGCAUACCACAGGCUGAGUACCCGCUGCCAGAACGCCUGUCAGGAAGCAGGCUCCCACAGGUCAGCGGCUCCCUCACUUUUUUUCCUUUGUGGUUCUUAAAGUCCUCCUUUGGGCCAGGCUUUGCAAAGAACGAGGGCUGCAGGCCCCGUCCUGCAGCCUACAGCCGUGGUUGUGCACCGUGCUCCAGAUGGACCAACCCAGUGGACAGAGCAAACGCAAAAGGAGAUUUAAAAUACCUGUGGCUUGCAGGAACCCAGAACGUGAAUGGGCUUGGGGACUGCGUGUGCUGAAGAAGGGAGAAGUUUAAUUAUUUGUCUGGAUAUCUUUUUGCUUUUUCUUUGUACGAAAUGCCUCGUGCUCUUUGGUGGUGCCAAGAAACUUCUCCCCAGGUGAGCGGCUUCCAAGGAAGCUGGGGAAAGUGGUUUUGGUGGUGGAGGAGCUGGCUCCAGGGCACAUCAUACCCUGCGGCCAGAGGAGAGGACGUGUUGGGCGAGCACGAUGCUUCAGGAGAAAAGUUAAUUCUGCAGUUCCUCGUGUAUGCAGCAAUUUGAGUCAACACCGAGUAAACGUAUGUUUUCCAUCAGGCUGCCAGGGUGCAAUCAUUUCCAGCCUGCAGGAGCAAUCACUUCGGCAGAACCUCUUUGAAUUAGUGGCAGGAGGAAAGCUCCUCAGUGCCCGCCUGGGUCCCAGGGUGAGGAUGUGCCAUGCAGGGCGCUGGGCUCUGGGGGUCAGCACAGCCAAAUGAAUGAGCGCGGGCCUGGCGAGCGAGAGACAUUUGCAGUGCUGAAUCUUCCCGAAAAUUAUGUUCCUCGGUGUUUGGAAACAUAUGGCUAUGAUUUUCUUCUUGUGCAGUGCGGCUGAACUAUAUUUUGCAUAUAGAUUGGGAUCAAAUGUACUGUGAUAGAAAUCUUUCCUAGUCUUCCAGCUUCUGUGUAUCUGAGCCCCUCAUUUGAUGACACACGAUAAAAACACCUUGCAGACAAGAAGCAGGAAUUUUUAAGCCACAUGUUUUGUUAUUUGUUUUGUGGUGUGAGGUGCAGGGGCAGGGAGCUGAGGCACAGCUGGUGGGAGCAGGUGGGGGAGACCCAAAUGGGUCCUGCAGGUUGUAGGGGCUGCAGCCUUAAUUAAGCUAAUAUGGACUACCUGUGAACUCUUCCAGGGCAUGUGUUAUGUGUUACCCCAUUUCACAGUUUGAAUCCCUACUUACUGGUAUCCCCAAAAUUUCAGAGAUCACAAUACUGGUUUUGUGAGGCCCAUAUGUAUGUUCUCCGCUGAGCCCCACCUGGGGUGACCUCCUUGCACAUGUUAUACCCAUGGCUGUUGUGGACUUGCAAAAUGUUAGGGUCCAGAGGACAAGUAAUGUCUGAUGUGCAAAAAUAUCCCAAAGCUGUUGACUGCUCUGGGGUUGGCCACGUCCAUAACCAUUCCUCUUAAGCCACGGGUCCCUUUCCCUCCCAGCAAAUCUGAUGGAAGCAGUUGUGUCACGGGGUGAAGAAGUGCAUGGAGAAGGGAUCCAUCUGGAAAUGAGCUGGAAAAAAGGUACCAAGUGAUAAAAGUGAUCAGACUUCCCCCAGCCCGACCAGCCUGCUGGUUGGGCCGGGUCUGGGUGAGCAGCCUCCUCCUGUCAGGUCACUUAUCUGCACAAAGUUAUACCGUGCACAUAGCUAGGGGGUAUGAAUAGGAAAUUAUUAGACCUUUUUUCUUUACCAAAAUGUCCUGGGAAAGCUGAGGAAAGGGAUCAUGAA
ensembl:lncRNA